rnacentral:rRNA from 1 species
GCGCACCAGUCGAGAAAACUUCACACUGUGCGAAAGCACGAUGAGGGAAUCCCAAGUGCUUGCACGUAAGUGUAAGCUGUUUCUCUGUCUAAAACGCAGAGAGAGUAAGGGCUGGGUAAGACGGGUGCCAGCCGCCGCGGUAAUACCUGCAGCUCAAGUGGUGACCGUUAUUAUUGGGCCUAAAACGUCCGUAGCCGGUUUAAUAAAUGCCUGGGUAAAUUGUGUAGCUUAACUAUACGAAUUCCGGGUAGACUGUUAAACUUGAGACCGGGAGAAGUUGGAGGUACUCCUGGGGUAGAGGUGAAAUUCUGUAAUCCUAGGGGGACCACCAGUGGCGAAGGCGUCUAACUAGAACGGGUCUGACGGUGAGGGACGAAGCCCUGGGGCACGAAACGGGAUUAGAUACCCGGGUAGU